rnacentral:rRNA from 1 species
AGUGAACGCUGGCGGCAUGCCUUACACAUGCAAGUCGAACGGCAGCACGGGUGCUUGCACCUGUUGCCGGGUGGCGGAGGGGUGAGGAAUAGGUCUGCACCUGCCUUUACUUGUGGGAUAACGCUGCGGAAGGUGCGCUAAUACUACAAACGCACAGGAGGUGAAAGCGGGAGACGGUAAGCUCUCGCCCGAGUGCGGCUGCCGAGGUCUGAUUAGCUUGUUGUAGAGGUAAAAGCUCACAAAGGCGAUGGUCAGUAGCGGGUCUGAGAGGACGAGCAGCCACACUGGGACUGAGAAACGGCCCAGCCUCCUACGGGAGGCAGCAGUGGGGAAUUUGGGACAAGGGGGGCAACCUUGAUCCAGCAAUGCGGCGGGAGUGAAGAGGGCCUCCGGGUGGUAAAGCUCUUUUGUCAGGGAAGAAACAGCAGCUCUAACACAGUCUGCGAAUGACGGUACCUGAAGAAUAAGCACCGGCUAACUACGUG